rnacentral:precursor_RNA from 15 species
UAAUAAUUCUUGGAGUAUUAUCUAAUUAUCAGUAGAAGCCAAAAGGAUGUGAGUAUUUUUGAAAUCCACCUCCCUUUGGCUUCUACUACUUAAUUGGUAAUCAAAACUGCUUCAAAAAC